GCGGGUCGUGUCGCACGGCGGCGGCGCCCGCCCCCUGCUCGGGGGCGGGCGCCGUCCGGUGCGGCGGGGCCGCGC
rnacentral:tRNA from 1 species